CGGAUAUAGUUCAGUGGCAGAACUUCAGCUUCCCAAGCUGAUAAUGCGGGUCCGAUUCCCGUUAUCCG
rnacentral:tRNA from 1 species